UUUAUGCUGUCCAAGUAAAGCAAAAGAGAAGCCUGAGUACGUAUGCGAUGCUUGCUGUGACUUAUAAGAGGUAAAUUUUCAGGCAUAAUAAAGAAGCAAUAGGUAAUGCUUUCUUAGUUCUUACUAGUCCAAGUGAAGAAUGUUGAGAGAGGAAAUUUCAAAGUUGAACGAAGACAGUCAUGGAGGCUGACACCUGACAGUGCGAUGAAAAAUAGCAUGAGGGAUUGACGUGCCUUCUUCCCGAACGGUUCUCUGACUAAGGAGCAGAAGAAGGUUUUGUGAAUUGUUUGUAAGCUUAGUGUGUUUGCUGCCAAGCCAAUUGGUCCAAAUUAUCUGUUUUCAUCAUAUAUGUGUGUGUACCUGGCAUUUUGCUGACCAUUAUGCGGGCACAUUCGACA